rnacentral:rRNA from 1 species
GGUUAAGUUAGAAAGGGCGCACGGUGGAUGCCUUGACACUAGGAGUCGAUGAAGGACGGGACUAACGCCGAUAUGCUUCGGGGAGCUGUAAGUAAGCUUUGAUCCGAAGAUUUCCGAAUGGGGAAACCCACCAUA